rnacentral:lncRNA from 1 species
UCUGAUUAAUUGGCAUACAGCAGACAGCCUAUUUUGAUAGCCUACAAGCUUAGGCCUAACAAUCUUCAGACUCUGUCUAUAAGAAGAUGUGAAAAAGGAGACCCCAAGAUAAGCCGUCACUCUGCCUCUCACACUCCUCCAUCUAGUGAAUAAGAUACUUACUUGAGCAUAAGAGGAUUUCCACCAGAGCCACCUCUAGUCGAGGCUUUUCUUGCAAGUCUCACCCCUAUG